GUUUUGCUGUGAUGAAUUCAUGAAAAAUUCACAUGUCCGACUUCAGAGAGAAAUCUAUGAGAAGAUAUUCAUGUAUCCUAGAGAAAUCUAUGAGAAGAUAUUCAUGUAUCCUGAGCAGAAG